rnacentral:rRNA from 1 species
UAGCCAUGCUNGUCGCACGAGUUCAGACUCGUGGCGAAUAGCUCAGUAACACGUGGCCUAACUACCCUUCGGAACACAAUACCCUCGGGAAACUGAGGCUAAUAGUGUAUACCAUACCACCACUGGAAUGAGUGGUAUGCCAAACGCUCCGGCGCCGAAGGAUGUGGCUGCGGCCGAUUAGGUAGACGGUGGGGUAACGGCCCACCGUGCCAAUAAUCGGUAUGGGUCAUGAGAGUGAGAACCCAGAGACGGAAUCUGAGACAAGAUUCCGGGCCCUACGGGGCGCAGCAGGCGCGAAACCUUUACACUGCACGACAGUGCGAUAGGGGGAUCCCAAGUGCACAGGCAUAGCGCCUGUGCUUUUCGGUACCCUAAGGCGGUACCAGAAUAAGGGCUGGGCAAGACCGGUGCCAGCCGCCGCGGUAAUACCGGCAGCCCAAGUGAUGGCCGAUUUUAUUGGGCCUAAAGCGUCCGUAGCUGGCCGCGCAAGUCCAUCGGGAAAUCCACCUGCUCAACAGGUGGGCGCCCGGUAGAAACUGCGUGGCUUGGGACCGGAAGGCGCGACGGGUACGUCCGGGGGUAGGAGUGAAAUCCCGUAAUCCUGGACGGACCGCCGAUGGCGAAAGCACGUCGCGAGAACGGAUCCGACAGUGAGGGACGAAAGCCAGGGUCUCGAACCGGAUUAGAUACCCGGGUAGUCCUGGCCGUAAACAAUGUCUGCUAGGUGUGGCUCCCACUACGAGUGGGUGCUGUGCCGUAGGGAAGCCGCUAAGCAGACCGCCUGGGAAGUACGUCCGCAAGGAUAAAACUUAAAGGAAUUGGCGGGGAGCA